GAGAGGGUAUGUAAUUUUGCUGAUGUCAUGAAGCUAGACUCAGACCCUCUCUGAAAGUAGAGGCUCCAGGAACAAAAUUUGAUGUCUUCUUUCCAUCCUGGGAAUGGACAUAAUGAUAGUCGGAGGUCUGUGUUUUAUGCCAAUGAAAAGUGGGAAUUUUUAGACCCAACCCCUAAGGACCUAGAGGAGUCCAUAGUACAGGAAGAAAAGAAGGAGCCAACCCCUGAAGGAAACAAAGUUUCACAAAGGCUGAAAAAUUUGCCUCAUACUUCCCUCAAAGCCAAACAGUUGCUUCAAACUUCAUCUACAAAUAGAGGAUUUGUACCUCAAUUGAUGGAAUAUUGGUAAUUCUUCUACUCCAUUUGAAGAUGAAAAAUAAAGGCCAAAAUCAUAGGCCUGGCACAGAAGCUGGAUAAUGAAGACAGCUCCGGAGGAACACAUAGAUACACACACAUAUAGACACACACAUAUAUAAAGUACACAGACAUAUUAUUUUUAAAGUUUAUUUUUUAAAGUUUUAAAGUUUCUAAAAUGAAAGCUGGCCCUGCCUCUCUCCCAGAGUGAGCGGAGACAGCGGUUGCAUGAGCAGCUUUCCUUGUGAGGCCACAGGUCCCUCUGGACACGCUGCUGCCUGACCAUGCCUCCUUUCCCUUUCAGCUUUCUCAUAGACCAAUGGGCUUGGAGCAUUAAGGCCAUACCCCUAUUAUGCAUUCUAGUGCGACCUUGUUUACACCUCCCCUGGCUCAGUCACACAGCUGUGUGGUAGGCUACUAGAAGUGUUUAGUAGUUGUCACUGGGAUCAUGCUGAUGUGGCCCCAUCCCCGCCUCUCCCUGCCCUGUGAUAUCGGAGGAAACCUGACAGAGCAAAUUGGCCAUGGCCAAGAAAAAGGAAAAGAAAGAGUGCCACCAAAAGCAGGGAGCCCUAAGGGAGCAGUUACAGGAGUCUGAGGAUCUGGCCAGCCGCCUUUAGUAUUCCAGGCAGUGUGUGGGAGAGUUGGAGCAGGCUCUCUGCUGUCUCCACACAGCAGAAGAAAG
rnacentral:lncRNA from 1 species